GACGAACGCUGGCGGCGUGCUUAACACAUGCAAGUCGAACGAUGAACCGGUUUCGGCCGGGGAUUAGUGGCGAACGGGUGAGUAACACGUGGGCAAUCUGCCCUGCACUCUGGGACAAGCCCUGGAGACGGGGUCUAAUACCGGAUACGACAUGGGAAUGCAUGUUCCUGUGUGGAAAGCUCCGGCGGUGCAGGAUGAGCCCGCGGCCUAUCAGCUAGUUGGUGGGGUAGAGGCCUACCAAGGCGACGACGGGUAGCCGGCCUGAGAGGGCGACCGGCCACACUGGGACUGAGACACGGCCCAGACUCCUACGGGAGGCAGCAGUGGGGAAUAUUGCACAAUGGGCGAAAGCCUGAUGCAGCGACGCCGCGUGAGGGAUGACGGCCUUCGGGUUGUAAACCUCUUUCAGCAGGGAAGAAGCUUUCGGGUGACGGUACCUGCAGAAGAAGCACCGGCUAACUACGUGCCAGCAGCCGCGGUAA
rnacentral:rRNA from 1 species